GCAUAAUAUAAAUUAAAUGAUACAUUUUGAAUACUUUUUGUCUUUAAAACCAAUUGACUGCUUUGGCUAUUUUUUUUAAGUGCAUUAAAGCUGAAGAAGCUUAACUCAGCAUCAUCAAAUUAGGUAAUAUUAGGCAUUUUGGGCAAAUCAUUUCCAUAUUAAAUUCUAGAUGGCAAAUAUACAUAUUCUGUUUUGGAUUCUGGUUCCUGCUGGUGUGCUGAUUUUUGUAUUUUUUUUUUUAAAUCAGAGUUUACACAAACUUGAUGAACCGAACCUAAAAGUCUUCAGCUCUCUUUUAUCAAAGAAUGCUGGACUGUACUAUUUGUUUAUUAAUGUUUUCAUUUAAUAGGACAUGAACUUACAAUUAAGGUCCGAUUUUUGCAGGACUAACUUUCUCUCACAUUCAGCCUGUGGUAGAGAGUUACAGCAUCCUCGCUUGAAUUUAACCCAAAAACCUUUACUUACAGAAGGAAAUAUUGGCUCUGUAUCCUUGUUGUUGAUCUGAUGUUUACUCUAUACUUUAUUAUUUUAAACUAGAACUGUGGUCAUCAGUCAUCCAGUAAUAUGUACUUCCCUGUGCACGUCAUGUUUUAACUGGGGCAGGACAAUUAUUACCCCAGAAUACAAAGCUGCUUUUUAUUUCUUUUAUCGUAAUACCUGGAUUGGCCAAAAGAGGGCCAUCAGCCAAUUUAACUUUGAGCCAGCCAAAGGGCAAUGUACAGAUUCGACUGACAGCAAGACAUAAGGUUUUAUUCCUCUCUUUGAUCAGCAAAGCGCAUAACAACGUAGGCUACUAUGUACAAUUCGCGCGGUCUCCUUUUCCUUUCAUUUGGAUUUACCUUGCUGGAGUUCAUCACCUGUGACAGCGAUGGAUCUUUAUUGGCGGGUGAAUGUCAAAGAAUGGAUAUCAAACAUGGUAAUAGACCAGCACAAAACGGUGAAGCCCCCUUCAAGAUCGAACCAGAAUAUAAAGAAGUGACAGAUUCUGAACUGGGAAAGAACAUUAUUGUCUCGCUUAGGGCUUCGGUUCAAUUUAAAGGUUUCAUGUUGGACGCUCGUAAGUGUGAUGAGUGUGCGUCUGCUGGCAGGUUUAAUUUAAUCCAGACUGAACCGAACAACAGCAUACUCAUCUGUGAUGACCGUGUUGUGGCUCAAAGUAAUAACCAAAGAAAAACGAUAGUUAAUGUGUUGUGGAUCCCCGAAGAGACUGGAGUGUUUUUCUUCAGAGCUGCUUUCGUUGAAGAUUUCAGUAUUUUUUGGCUAAGGAAGCCGAUCAUACUCACGACGACUGCAUCACCCACCACUGAAUCCACCAGUCACAGUACACAAACAAGUCCAACAGAUAUGUCACAGACACAGGCUGCAUCACCGACCUCUGAAGCCACAAGUACACAAAUAAAAACAACUACAAGCCCAACAAUAUUUACAACAGCAUCAAAUAUAGACUCAUAUGCUACAGUUGGACUAGCAUCGCCGCCUCAGUGUCUACAAUAUAUGAGAUAUGCUUUAGCACUGUUAUUAUUCAGUCGACUGUGUUUUCUUGGAGGCUCUUCUCUCCUGAUGAUUUUCAGACCAGCGUCAAAAAUGGCCACCAUGAUUGCGUCUGUCUUUGAACCAGCCUCCAAAACUAUUGCUGUCAUCUUCGUACUAAUAAAACUAAUUAAAUAUGAGUGUGCGUGUGAGUGUGAUAGUUUGCAGAUUGUGUUUAGUGCUUUGACAGUGGCUGCCAUGGUUUCAAGCCUGCUGCACACUCUCACCGUUUUCCUUUACUGUGGACCAAGCCAUGAAUUAAGGAAGUGUUGGCUCUGUGCCAUUAUAAUUGUUGGCCUAAUGAAUACUAUCAUUACAACAACUGCAAUAUUCUUUGAAAUAUGGUGCUUUCAAGAGCGCUGGCUGCCAUUAUUAAUGGGAGUUUUUGUUGUUUGGGAGUUCAUGCUUUAUCUUGGCUCAGUUUGCUGUGAACAGAUGGAAAAAUACAGGUCAAGAAAAAAUCAGAAUCGUACUGCGGAAAAGAGGAUAUCCCCAUGGUUGUUUAUGUUCAUCAUCUUUUCAGUGUUUAAUGCAAUGUUUACAGCUGCACUCAUAACAGGAGUGUCUUUGGUCAAAACGAAAAAUAGUUGA
ensembl:lncRNA